UACGUAGGGUGCGAGCGUUAAUCGGAAUUACUGGGCGGAAAGUGUGCGCAGGCGGCAGAGCAAGUCGAGUGUGAAAGCCCUGGGCUUAACUUGGGAAUUGCGCUCGAAACUACUUUGCUGGAGUGUGGCAGAGGAAGGUGGAAUUCCACGUGUAGCGGUGAAAUGCGUAGAGAUGUGGAGGAACACCAAUGGCGAAGGCAGCCUUCUGGGCCAACACUGACGCUCAUGCACGAAAGCGUGGGGAGCAAACAGG
rnacentral:rRNA from 1 species